GUCCUACGUAUAAAGAGUUUUGUAUAUAGGAAGGAUAUUGUCAUUCUCAAAUUAAAACCAUUUUUGUCUGUUGUGGCAGGAACCCCAGAACAUUCCGGAGGCUUCAUAGAAAUACCUGGUAUUGGGAGCACAGCUGGAAACUCCAGCAUGCCAGGGACGACCUUGGGAUUCAGAGGAGGAACCACUCUAGGUGUUCGGAGUGAACCUUCUGGGACAGGUGUUGGCGGGAGUCCGGUUGCCACGACCCUGGAAGCUGGCAGUGUGGGCAGGACCGCAGGGGGCCCCGGCUUCACCAGUCCUGGGCACCUAGCAGUGACUUCAGAAGGUUCAGAGUCCUUCAGAAAAGCACCAGGGUUUGAGGACACAAGUGGUGUCCCAACUGCUCCAAGUUCAUCCUUGGGCGUCAGACCAGUAGGUACAUCUGAAACAUCUGGUGGUGUAACCAGUGGAGAUGAAAAUAAACCUGCAUCACCCAGCAGCAGUACUACAAGCUCUUCAGAUAAACCAGGGACCUCCAGGGAAGCAUUUGAAAUAAAAACUGCUCCUGGAAUUUCUGCCACAGGUAAGUCAAAUAAUAAUAAAUGAACUUUCCUUGGUGGCAUCUCAGAAGACAGACCAGUUUACCAGGGGGC
rnacentral:lncRNA from 1 species